GACGAACGCUGGCGGCGUGCUUAACACAUGCAAGUCGAACGGAAAGGCCCUGCUUUUGUGGGGUGCUCGAGUGGCGAACGGGUGAGUAACACGUGAGUAACCUGCCCUUGACUUUGGGAUAACUUCAGGAAACUGGGGCUAAUACCGGAUAGGAGCUCCUGCUGCAUGGUGGGGGUUGGAAAGUUUCGGCGGUUGGGGAUGGACUCGCGGCUUAUCAGCUUGUUGGUGGGGUAGUGGCUUACCAAGGCUUUGACGGGUAGCCGGCCUGAGAGGGUGACCGGACAACAUGGGGAGUGCGUGCGGACCAAGCGGCAAAGGGGGGAAAACGGGGGGAAUUUUUCACAAGGGGGCGGAGGCGUGCGGCAGAAGCCGCGGGGGGGGAAGGACGGCCUGGGGUUAGAAACCGGCUUCCGCUGGGGACAAAGGGGGGUGGAGGGUAGGGGAAAAAGGAGCCCGGGAUAACUACGUC
rnacentral:rRNA from 1 species